rnacentral:rRNA from 1 species
UGGGGAAUUUUGGACAAUGGGCGCAAGCCUGAUCCAGCAAUGCCGCGUGCAGGAUGAAGGCCUUCGGGUUGUAAACUGCUUUUGUACGGAGCGAAAAGGUCUGCCCUAAUACGGUGGGCUCAUGACGGUACCGUAAGAAUAAGCACCGGCUAACUACGUGCCAGCAGCCGCGGUAAUACAGAGGGUGCGAGCGUUAAUCGGAUUUACUGGGCGUAAAGCGUGCGUAGGCGGCUUUUUAAGUCGGAUGUGAAAUCCCCGAGCUUAACUUGGGAAUUGCAUUCGAUACUGGGAAGCUAGAGUAUGGGAGAGGAUGGUAGAAUUCCGGGUGUAGCAGUGAAAUGCGUAGAUAUGCGGAGGAACACCGAUGGCGAAGGCAAUCCCCUGGACCUGUACUGACGCUCAUGCACGAAAGCGUGGGGAGCAAACA